rnacentral:rRNA from 1 species
AACGAACGCUGGCGGCAGGCUUAACACGUGCAAGUCGAGCGCCCCGCAAGGGGAGCGGCAGACGGGUGAGUAACGCGUGGGAAUCUACCCAUCUCUACGGAAUAACGCAUGGAAACGUGUGCUAAUACCGUAUACGUCCUUCGGGAGAAAGAUUUAUCGGAGAUGGAUGAGCCCGCGUUGGAUUAGCUAGUUGGUGGGGUAAAGGCCUACCAAGGCGACGAUCCAUAGCUGGUCUGAGAGGAUGAUCAGCCACACUGGGACUGAGACACGGCCCAGACUCCUACGGGAGGCAGCAGGGGGGAAUAUUGGACAAUGGGCGCAAGCCUGAUCCAGCCAUGCCGCGUGAGUGAUGAAGGCCCUAGGGUUGUAAAGCUCUUUCACCGGUGAAGAUAAUGACGGUAACCGGAGAAGAAGCCCCGGCUAACUUCUUGCCAGCCGCCGCCGUAAAAC